rnacentral:tRNA from 1 species
GGCGGGGUAGCCAAGCGGUAAGGCAGAGGUUUGCAAAACCUCCAUUGGCGGGUUCGACUCCCGCCCCCGCCUCCA